rnacentral:lncRNA from 1 species
UUCAGAUGUGGAUCCACGGAGUAUUGAAUUAUAGAUUGCCCUCAUCGACCACCUGUUCACAGGCAAGCCUUGAAGAAGACUUAAAAUCAAGAAGCUGGAACCGACAAGACAGGUACUAUGGUGGGUUACUGGAUUUGUGUUUUUUUCUGUUUGGGCUUAGUUUGACCUUUUUUUUUUUGUUGGUUGAGGUAUUUUGUAUGGUAGGAAAACUAGUUCUUUAAGACUGUUCGUAGGAUUUUGUCAGGUUAAGUAUGGGUUGGUAGUGUGUUGGGAUCAGAGUGCGCAGCGAAAGUUUGGUAGCGACUUUGGCAUUUUGGCGAUUGUGAUGUUAGCGGGAAAUUUUGGGAACGGAAUUUCUUUAAAGAGAGGUGAGUUGUAACACCUCAAAAUUGGGGGUUAGAAGAAUUAGGGUCUGUUGGUUGGGUUAGUGGUUUGGUUGGAUUUUUAAGUUAGUUUUUGUGUUUAGGAACAGAAUGAGAUCGUUUUUUUGAUUGUAAGGUGUUAGCUUACCCUUAGGUCUCGUGUUCGAGUCCUUGUGUAAGCUUAAAGGAGGUUAAUUUUUUAUUUAAUUUUGUUAUAAACAAUGAUGAAUGAUAAUAAUAAUUUUGAUAGGUUGGUUUUGUCCUAUUUGUUUUAAGUUAUUUUAUUUUAUUUUAUUUUUUGGAAAAUAGGGAAAUCUCUAAAAAAAUUCCUCACAUUCCUUCAUUCUCUCUCUCUCUCACGUUAGUCUCCCUCUUUUCCCAAUUUUCAGAUUUGGACUUCGGUUUUCCUUUCAAUUUUUAUUCUUUUUUAUUUCAACAACGUUGUUGGUUGCCGUUCUUC